rnacentral:rRNA from 1 species
GAGUUUGAUCAUGGCUCAGAUUGAACGCUGGCGGCAUGCCUUACACAUGCAAGUCGAACGGCAGCACGGGAGCUUGCUCCUGGUGGCGAGUGGCGAACGGGUGAGUAAUGCAUCGGAACGUAUCCUGGAGUGGGGGAUAACGUAGCGAAAGUUACGCUAAUACCGCAUAUUCUGUGAGCAGGAAAGCGGGGGACCUUCGGGCCUCGCGCUCUUGGAGCGGCCGAUGUCGGAUUAGCUAGUUGGUGAGGUAAAGGCUCACCAAGGCGACGAUCCGUAGCAGGUCUGAGAGGAUGAUCUGCCACACUGGAACUGAGACACGGUCCAGACUCCUACGGGAGGCAGCAGUGGGAAUUUUGGACAAUGGGGGCAACCCUGAUCCAGCCAUGCCGCGUGAGUGAAGAAGGCCCUCGGGUUGUAAAGCUCUUUCGCGAGGGAAGAAAUUGCACCGGACAAUACCUGGUGUAGAUGACGGUACCUUGAUAAGAAGCACCGGCUAACUACGUG